GCGUUCGAAUUGUAGUCUGG
rnacentral:snRNA from 1 species